GAGAGAGAGAGAGAGAAACAGGCGCUGAGGAAUAGCGAACCACCGCCCCCAAGAAGUUGGAUUAGAAAGUGAUUGAGAGAGGUCGACUUUCCAUUAUUGCCGUUAGAAUGCCGGCGCGGCUUAUCCCUCUCCAGGGUGGCGUGCGAAUUUUGAUCGGGCUUGACAGCGUUAUCCCAAACUGACCUCCCUCUCCCCGAGGCGCUGCACACAGCGACCUUGAGCCCAGAAAAAGUGAGCGAUGGCCCCAGUGCGGAGCUCCGCCAGGGGGAGUCGCCGAGAGCCUCCACAUGACCGUAGACGCCAAGCAGCAGCAGCAGCAGUUUAGGAGCAGCCAGCACUGAACAAAGCCGAUUCUAGCCGCAUUCUCCAAACGUGCUCCCAACAAGCGAUUCUCCCUCCCGGGAAUGCAAAGGUGGCAAAGACUGAUACAGAGACAAGUUUGUGGGAGAUCAGUGGUUUGUGCAGUGGUCCACAUGGAAUUCUGUUGCAUUUAGGAUUAUAGACUUGUCAAUGUCUCAACUGAACUCUGAUGUCCAGAGAUACUUGUUACUAAACAACAGAGGCAGUCAACUGUGCAGGUUCGCUGGUGCAUCAGACAGCUGUGCAGGUUUAGUUCUCUGGUUUUCACCUCCCAUGUGGUACAUGCUGUGUCUCUCUCCCUUUUUUUAAAAGUGCUGUUGCUUUGAUUUUUCUUUUCUGAAGUUCCAAAACAAUGCAAUAGCUUAUAAAAUAGUGAUAACUGCUCCAAAGAUUUAAGGAAAUCAACUCCAACACUGACAAAUCUCAAAAAAAGGAGCAGCUCUAACAGUCAUAACGUUUGCCCAUCCUCCCUCUUGGAUUUAGUUUGCCAUUCAAAACCAGGUUCUGCAACCUCCAAAUAUGGAAAGUAGUGAUCUAAUUGGAUCUUGCUGUCCCUACCCAAUGCUAGUAUUGGAUACAGGCCACAGAGUCUUUGAGAAAGGCGUGAAAAGAGGGAAGAAAGAGAAAAUCUGGAACCCCAGCUCUCACUGCUCUCUGCACCUUCUUCACCAGCACCUCCAGAGAGCACCUGCGACUGGCAGCGACUUGUACCUUGUGGUGAGCAUCAUCAGACCGACCUGACCCAGAAAAACCACCUCAGUGUGCCAACCCAAAGACCAGAGCCAGCCCGAGAUGAGAAGGGAAGCCCAAAUCGAUGACUCCAGAUCCUGAAACAUCAGCCGACCCUCAAAGACCAAGGAAUAGUCUGUCCCAGCAUUACUGAAGGGUAUUACCAGUCGUUUCAGACAAACAGUUCAGGUACAGUGGUGGGGACAUGUGGAUAGGGUGUAGCAAAUCCUUGGAAGGGCAUGUCAGAAAUACAUAACUAGUGUAGAUUUGAGAUUAUUUAGAGAUUUAAAACUGUUUAAUGAAGAAUCCUGUGAAGGGACUUAAAUUAGAAUUAAAUUAGUGUACAAUAGUAGU